rnacentral:rRNA from 1 species
UACGUAGGGGGCAAGCGUUGUCCGGAAUCAUUGGGCGUAAAGAGCGUGUAGGCGGUUCGGUAAGUCCGCUGUGAAAGUCCAGGGCUCAACCCUGGAAUGCCGGUGGAUACUGCCGGGCUAGAGUCCGGAAGAGGCGAGUGGAAUUCCUGGUGUAGCGGUGAAAUGCGCAGAUAUCAGGAGGAACACCGGUGGCGAAGGCGGGUCUCUGGGCCGAAACUGACGCUGAGGAGCGAAAGCGUGGGGAGCGAACAGG